GACGAACGCUGGCGGCGUGCCUAAUACAUGCAAGUAGAACGCUGAAGGAGGAGCUUGCUUCUCUGGAUGAGUUGCGAACGGGUGAGUAACGCGUAGGUAACCUGCCUGGUAGCGGGGGAUAACUAUUGGAAACGAUAGCUAAUACCGCAUAAGAGUAGAUGUUGCAUGACAUUUGCUUAAAAGGUGCAAUUGCAUCACUACCAGAUGGACCUGCGUUGUAUUAGCUAGUUGGUGGGGUAACGGCUCACCAAGGCGACGAUACAUAGCCGACCUGAGAGGGUGAUCGGCCACACUGGGACUGAGACACGGCCCAGACUCCUACGGGAGGCAGCAGUAGGGAAUCUUCGGCAACGGACGGAAGUCUGACCGAGCAACGCCGCGUGAGUGAAGAAGGUUUUCGGAUCGUAAAGCUCUGUUGUAAGAGAAGAACGAGUGUGAGAGUGGAAAGUUCACACUGUGACGGUAUCUUACCAGAAAGGGACGGCUAACUACGUGCCAGCAGCCGCGGUAAUACGUAGGUGGCAAGCGUUAUCCGGAUUUAUUGGGCGUAAAGAGAGUGCAGGCGGUUUUCUAAGUCUGAUGUGAAAGCCUUCGGCUUAACCGGAGAAGUGCAUCGGAAACUGGAUAACUUGAGUGCAGAAGAGGGUAGUGGAACUCCAUGUGUAGCGGUGGAAUGCGUAGAUAUAUGGAAGAACACCAGUGGCGAAGGCGGCUACCUGGUCUGCAACUGACGCUGAGACUCGAAAGCAUGGGUAGCGAACAGG
rnacentral:rRNA from 1 species